GAAAGACGACACAGUUGCUGUGUUUUCUCCUUAUCGAUGUACUCUGCCGAUUCCAGGAAGUCAGUCGAUCCAAUAGGAUGCGUCUCAUUUAAUCACGUAUUUUUAGAGGUCGCUGAUUGGCGGCCCAAUUAGUCGCGUCGCAGCCUCUGUUUACCGGAAGUGAUUGAGAUUAGGGGGUGAGAGGAUGGGUGUAGAUUGAGAUUAGGAACAUGAAAUGGAGCUCAGAAGGGAAGGAACUGAAGCUUGGACAGAAAGACAACAAACAACAGCUUCUGUUUGUGGAUUUUAAAUGCUUCUGUUUGUUGAAGGGGAAACCUGUCACAUGGCCAUCAGAUGAUUUUCUCUUUCUCCUGAUUGGCUGCAGCUCCUGCCAGUCACUGUGUAGUCAGACUCUUCUUUCACACCUAAAGUAAGGGUGUGUGAUAAUGUUUGACAUAUCUGAGCUGGCAUCUGAUUUCUGCAUGUAAAUUUCCCACCCAUUUGAACCCAACUGAAUUAUUACAAGACUGUGAGC
ensembl:lncRNA